CCCACAAGCCGCAGACCAAGAGAUCCACAACCGGGAGGGGCUGCUGCACAGAACGGUACCUCUCCCAAGCACUGGACUAGCAGACCGAACAUAUCGAGGCCUGCGGCCUACUCGCAACCGAGCCACGAGGAGACGGCCGCUCCACGGGCACGAGAGCAGGGAACGAACUCCCGGGGAAAAGUCUCCCGCCUCCCCCCCCAGGACCGGUGGGGGUCAUCCCGGUCCACACACUAGAGUGG